rnacentral:lncRNA from 1 species
GAAACCUGCUUUAUGCCUGAAUCGAUUUUUUCUUCAUCGAUCAAAGUUACUGUUUUUCUCCUCAGUCGAAAACGGCGUCAAAAAUUUCGUCUCUUUCACGUUGAUUAACACUUUUAUCCUCCGUAUCACUUGAAAGCAUUGGAUCGUUUGUUCUGUAUUUGCGGGUAACGAUUUGAUUGGUAAAAUUGUCGGGGGAUGCAUUGUGCGGAGAAGGUGUUUGAUGAAAUUCCGCAUAGAAAACUCCUAAAGGACAAGGUUAUUAAUUUUAUUUCGAUUCUGAGAUUUAAUAUGAUAUGGUGGCUUAUCCAUGACAUGUAAUGCUGAUGAGUAAUAAUCGUAAAGAAAAUUUUCCAACACAAAGGCAAAUCUUUGUAUGUUUACAGAUAUAAGUUAUAACCACACAAAGCCAUAAAACAAAGAAAAAAUUGUUCUUUUUUUUUGUUUUCUCCCACACGAAGCAAAACCAACAAAUUAAAUAACAGUACCUGAAAACUUUAAACUUGAACACUUUAUCACUUGACUUUGAUUUCUUCCUUAGCUUCUUCAGUUGUGAUAGUCUUAGAGCUUGGAGAUUUUCCAAUGAUUGCUUUCUUUGCCUUAACAAGAGAUUGUUUCACCUUUGAUAUUAUGCUGUUUGAAUGUUUUUGCUUAGCAGGAACUUCUUUGGUUGUGACUUCUGCUUCUUGUUUUGGCUCAUCGAUCUCUUUAACAACAGGUGCUGUUUCCACAACCUCUGCUACUUUUUCUGUAAUUG